AAGUCGUAACAAGGUUUCCGUAGGUGAACCUGCGGAAGGAUCAUUAACACAAGUACAUUUCUUUUACCCAAAGAAUGUAUUUUUCACCCCAUUGUGUAAACCUGUUCUCCAGUCUUCCCGGGCGCAUGCGUGAAAACGUGCGCGCCUGUUGGCUUACAAACUUUAUUUCACCCCUUGAACUGUCUUUUGACUGACAUCUGAGUUGUGUCUUUUACUUCGUGUAAAAAACACACUCUGCCAUAUAUCAAACGCUGAACAACUCUUAGCAACGGAUAUCUUGGCUCUC
rnacentral:misc_RNA from 1 species